AUGCCGCUCCUCCACCUCUCGCUUCCGCCGCACCGUCUCCUCGUCGGCCGCCGGCGACUAUUCGCCCCGCCGACGCCUCCUCCCUCUCGUAUCUCGAUAAGGGCGGCAGCGUUGAUAUCGUCAGCCGCGGAGGACGGAAGCGAUCUCCCCUUCCCUCCAGAGCGCGCUCCCCACCACCGCGAGCUCGCCGCGGCCGCUGCCUCUGUCGAGCGCGCCUGCCGCCUCUGCGUAGACGUGAAGAGAUCACUUCUUUCAGGUGGAAGGAAGAUUCUUGAAAAGAAUGACCAAAGUCCUGUGACAAUUGCAGAUUUUGGAGUUCAGGCCCUUAUCAGCUUCGAGCUCCAGCAACUGUUUCCAUCAAUACCUCUGGUGGCAGAAGAGGACUCAACAUUUCUGAAGUCAUCUAAUCCUGAUGAUAACAGUGGUAAUGUACUCAUUGAGUCAAUUUCAAGUGCUGUCACAGACAAAGUGAAAAAUAGUGGUUCACCUUUAACUCAUGAUGAUGUGUUGAGAGCUAUUGAUAGAGGAGGCAAGGAUGCUGUCUCCUUUGAUUCAAAUCCUGCUACUUAUUGGGUACUUGAUCCAAUUGAUGGCACUAAAGGUUUCUUGAAAGGAGAUGAUGCUCUGUAUGUGGUCGGUUUGGCUCUUGUGGUGAACGGAAAGGUAGCAGUAGGAGUGAUGGGAUGUCCAAAUUGGACCACGGCAAACAAGAAAGAAGAAAAUCUUGAUCCCUGUCCUGGCAAUGGCAUCCUUAUGGUGUCUCAUGUAGGCUGUGGUACUUGGUCUAGGCACUUGUCUCCUGAGAUUGGCCAGCUCACCACAGCACAGGAUGUUUGGAAGAGAUGUUUUGUUGAUGCAUGUUCAGUUGUGCACAUGGCACGCUUCUGCAUUCCGGAUAGCCAAACUUGGAACAUGAUACCAUUAUCCCUCCUCUUUGACUCAACGACGGACGAAUCUGAUACUCGAGAUGAGAAUAAAAUUCUUCUCCGAUAUGCUUGCUGUGGCAGCUUGUGCAAAUAUAUAAUGGUAGCAUCUGGGAGAGCCUCAGUUUUUUUCAGUCGAGCCCGGGUGAACACUCAAAUCAAGGCUUGGGAUCAUGCUGUUGGGAUGAUUUGUGUGCAGGAAGCUGGCGGUCAGAUCAGUGACUGGAGUGGGAAACCGUUGGAUCUUGCAGCUGACCUAACAGGGCGCAGAAUUCUCUACCCUUCAGGCGGUGUUCUUGUGACAAACGGUGCUGUGCACGACAAACUCGUCGAACUGAUAUCAGCAAACCACGAAUAG
rnacentral:rRNA from 1 species